GAAACACAUAAAAAAAUAAAACUAGAUAUUCUCACAAAAUGUCUUGUAAUACAUUAGGAAUAUGCAUUAAUUUACUACAAGUGAAAUAUUAAGAAUAGGCAGCAUAAAAUUUAAAUUCUACAUAAAAUAUGUAAACAUUCAUGUUUUUCAUGGUUAAAACAUCAUCCAGAAGCCAAAGGUAUAUUACAAUCCUUUAGAACAGGCUUCCCCAAACGCCGGCCCUCCAGAUGUUGUUGAACUACAACUCCCAUGAUCAUAUGAAUGAAACGGAUAGGCUAAAAAUCAUGGGAGUUGUAGUUCAGCAGCAUCUGGAGGGCCGGAGUUUGGGGAAGCCUGCUUUAGAAGGAUUCUAAGUAUAAAAUAUUGAGUGAGCGAAAAUAAUGAGUGAGAAAAUGAAUGUAAAAGGUAGCAUACAACACAUGCUUUUUGCUAAUUUGUCUGAACCAAAAGCGGAUCGGAUCUACUGUAAUAGAGAGCAUAUUACCAUAAAAUCUGCCCGUAUAAUGAUUGCCAUGACAUGUAAUAUCAAUGUUCACCAACCUUACCUGGUGUUGCUGUUGUGGCUCACCAAGGCUAUUUGUUAACUCUGUGCACACCCAAAAUUAAGAAUAAUUAAAAAAAAAAAGCAUACAGGGGCGGACUGACCACUCUGGCAGAUCGGUCAUGGACCGAGGGCCCGACGCCUGGCCAGAUGCACAAACAUGCUCUGGCUGGUGUGAUCAGUUGAGAGAUCUCCCAAGUCAUAAAAACGCCAUUAUUUUACAUAUUACAGCAAUAUGUUGCCUCUGCACCCUAUCGCACACUUAGUAUUCCCCCUCUGCCUCCCCUCCACCCCACAUUCUGAGUGAGACCUGGCAGUGAUCCUGCAGCACUUGCCAGGUCUCCUCCAUGUCAUGGUUGUGCGGAGCUACGUGUGAGGGAAAGAGGUGGGGCCCGGGAGAGGGGAAGUUACUUCAUUUCCUGCCCUGCCCUCUCCUGCAGAAUCUGCUGAAGCCUUGCAGACAGCAGGUAUGUAAACAUUUUCUUAACCCCAAUCCCCCAGCCCAGACAUCUUGCCCCACCUCAUCCAUCCCAGCCCCUAUGCCCCAAUUCACCCAUACCAACCCCCCCUUACACAUGCCAGCCUCAAUGUCUCCUUCACCCAUCCCAGAUCCUAGGCCCCUUCACCCAUCCAAGACCCUUUGCCAGUGUUAAUCAAUACCAGGGGGCAUAGGAGCUGGGAUGGGUGAACUGGGGCAUAGGGGCUGGUAUACGUGAAGGGGGCAUAGGGGCUUGGGUGGUUGAAGAGGCCUAGGUGCUGGUAUGGGUGAAGGAGGGCGCACACAGGCUGGUAUGGCUGAAGUGGGGCAUAGGAGCUGGGAUGGGUGAAGGGGCAUAGGAGCUCGGAUGGGACAUAAGGCCUGGUAUGGGUUAAGAGGGGCAAAGGAUCUGGGAUGGGUGAAGAGGCAUAGGGUCUGGGAUGGGUGAAGGAGGCAUAGAGGCUGGAAUGGGAGAAGUUGGGCAUCGGGGGCUGGGAUGGUCAAAGGGGCAUAGGAGCUGGGAUAGGUGAAGGGGCUGGUAUAGGUAAAGGGGGACAUUUGGUCUGAAGUGGGUAAAGAGGGGCAUAGGGCCUAGUAUGGGUAAAGAGGGGCAAAGGGGCUGGGAUGUGUGAAGCGGCAUAGGGUCUGGGAUUGGUGAAGGAGGAAUAGAGGUUUGGAUGGGUAAAGGGGGCCUGGUAUGCCCCUCUUAACCCAUUGCAGCCCCUUUGCCCCCUUUACCCAUCACAGACCCUAUGUCCCCCUUCACCCAACACAGCACCUAUUCCUUCCCACUACAGACCAAUCCAUCUCAUUCCUAUCCCUCCCUGUACCCACCACAGUCUAUGCCUUCUUGCAUACACCUCGGCCUCUCUCUCUCUCCAUGUACCCACCUCAUCUAUUACAGCCCCUAUCCCCCUGCACAUACCACAACCCCAUCCCUCUCAUCCCUAUCCUGCACCCACUGCAGCACCUAUACCUAUACCUUACAGUACCCGAUUCCACACAUACCACUCCUGCACCCACUACAGCAACUAUCCUUGCUCCAUACACACACCCCUACACCUACUACAGUACCUAUGCUCUCCUGCGUCUACUACAGCCCAUAUAACCCACACACGCUUCAGCCACUAUGCACCUACUACUCUCACAUAAUAUUUAUGUGAUACUCUCACAUAAUAUUUAUGUGAGAGCCACACAAAGACUUUGCAGCAGGAGGGGGCCCCUUGGUCUCCUAUUGACCGAGGGCCCUGUGAGUUGUCAGUCCACCCGUGAUAGCAUAUGAAGUAAUUUGCUGCCCACUCUCACAAUACAAUCUCUAUUUUAAUAGGUUUGAGCUUGCCUGAGGUGUACAGCUGACCCACAUUUUUCAAUAACAACAUUAAUUCACAAUAAUAGUCACAGUUUAGUUUAAAAUACUCUAAUCUGUAAAAUGGCAUUCAAUGUGCCAUUUGAGAUAUUU